UACCGGCAGCCCUAGUGGUGGCCGCUUUUAUUUGGCCUAAAGCGUCCGUAGCCUGAUAGGCAAGUCUUUGGGUAAAUCCUACGUCUUAAGCGUGGGAAUUCUAAAGAUACUACCUGUCUUGAGGCCGGGAGAGGCUAGAGGUACUCCUGGGGUAGGGGUAAAAUCCUAUAAUCCUGGGGGGACCACCGAUGGCGAAGGCAUCUAGCUGGAACGGGCCUGACGGUGAGGGACGAAACCCAGGGGAGCGAGCCGGAUUAGAUACCCGGGUAGUCCUGGGCGUAAAUGAUGUGGGCUUGGUGUGAGCGCAUCGACGAGGUGCGUUUGUGCCGUAGGGAAGCCGUUAAGCCCACGCCUGGGGAGUACGGUCGCAAGGCUGAAACUUAAAGGAAUUGGCGGGGGAGCACUACAAGGGGUGGAGGCUGCGGUUU
rnacentral:rRNA from 1 species